CCUACGGGAGGCAGCAGUGGGGAAUUUUCCGCAAUGGGCGAAAGCCUGACGGAGCAAUACCGCGUGAGGGAAGACGGCCUAUGGGUUGUAAACCUCUUUUUUCAGGGAGGAAUCAAUGACGUGUACCUGAAGAAUAAGCAUCGGCUAACUCCGUGCCAGCAGCCGCGGUAAGACGGAGGAUGCAAGUGUUAUCCGGAAUCACUGGGCGUAAAGCGUCUGUAGGUGGUUGAACAAGUCAACUGUUAAAUCUUGAGGCUUAACUUCAAAAUCGCAGUCGAAACUGUUUGACUAGAGUAUAGUAGGGGUAAAGGGAAUUUCCAGUGGAGUGGUGAAAUGCGUAGAUAUUGGAAAGAACACCGAUGGCGAAGGCACUUUACUGGGCUAUUACUGACACUCAGAGACGAAAGCUAGGGUAGCAAAUGGGAUUAGAUACCCCAGUAGUCCUAGCCGUAAACAAUGGAUACUAGAUGUUGAACAGAUCGACCUGUGCAGUAUCAAAGCUAACGCGUUAAGUAUCCCGCCUGGGAAGUAUGCUCGCAAGAGUGAAACUCAAAGGAAUUGACGG
rnacentral:rRNA from 1 species